rnacentral:rRNA from 1 species
UGCGGCGCACGGGUGCGUAACACGUGGGUAAUCUGCCUUCGGGUUCGGGAUAACGCGGGGAAACCUGCGCGAAUACCGGGCAAGACCACCCUCGGAAAAGAUGCGCCUGAAGAUGAGCCCGCGCCCCAUUAGCUAGUUGGCGAGGUAACGGCUCACCAAGGCAGUGAUGGGUAGCUGGUCUGAGAGGACGACCAGCCACACUGGAACUGAGACACGGUUCAGACUCCUACGGGAGGCAGCAGUCGGGAAUUUUGGGCAAUGGGCGCAAGCCUGACCCAGCAACGCCGCGUGAGCGAUGAAGGCCUUCGGGUCGUAAAGCUCUGUCGAGAGGGAAGAACGACGGUACCUCUAAAGGAAGCGCCGGCUAACUCCGUGCCAGCAGCCGCGGUAAUACGGAGGGCGCAAGCGUUGUUCGGAAUCACUGGGCGUAAAGCGCGUGUAGGCGGCUUGGCAAGUCGGGUGUGAAAGCCCGGAGCUCAACUCCGGAACUGCACUCGAAAC